GCACUGGUGAGCUCGCUAGCGUCUUACCCUAAAAACGACUGACACCUUCCUGGAAAAGGGACCAUCCCUGAACAGUUUACAAACACUGACAGGAAACGCCACCGGAAGCACUCUGCGGGGAGAGUCGUGAUUGGUCGGACGCCCGGUCACAUGAUCGAAGCGAGGUGACCCACAUUUUCCGCCAUGAUUGUGAGGGAGUGGCGGAAGCUGCGUGGAUGUGGGAGUUACGUAGAGAUGUCUGUGUUGCUUUGAAAAGAGCACACUCCCUCCCCAGGCAGCCUGAAACAAAAGACAAAACAGACAAACCUCGGAGUGUUCCUACAUUUCAAUGAAUACAAGACAAGCUUACACAAAACCAAGACUUGUCAACAGACGUGGGCUUUUCUUCCACCAGAGGACUCACGUCUACGUGCAUCCAGAGCUUGUGUUUCUCACAGACAUCAGCUAUGUGGUCCAAUGGGUCAAAGGCCCCCCGAACCGUGGUUCCUGAUGUGCAGCUUACAAGGAAUGGCGCUGCACCCUGGUAGCAACAAA